rnacentral:rRNA from 1 species
GCUUACGGCCAUACCGCCCUGAAUGCGCCCGAUCUCGGAAACCUAGCAGGGUCGGGCCUGGUUAGUACUUGGAUGGGAGACCGCCUGGGAAUACCAGGUGCUGUAAGCU